AUGUUGAUGAUUAAAUGAAUUGACAAAUCAAUAAAGUAUUUUUUGGCAUUAAAAAAUUAACACAUGAAGAGCACCAGAGAAAGAGAGUGAGAGGAGAGAGUAGUUCUGAAGGUGAAAGCCCAAGAAGGAGUUCUUGAGCUAUGAAGGUCCAUCUUCUUCCUUCUUCUCCCUUUCAGCCAACCUUCUGCCUUCCUGCGAGCUAGCACUCCCCGGGAAGCUGAUCAUUCCGAAGCUUCGCGUGGACGAGUCAUCGAGGCCGGACGCUUGUGCGGCUGCGAAGCAUCCUUGAAGGAACCUCGUUCUAAAGGUAAGAGAUCUGAUCUCUUUUAUGGUUGAGAUAUGAUCUCAAUCUUCAAAUUAAAAGAAGUUAUGAUUUAUGCAUAUUUAUUUGAAUCAUACAAUCCUCGGGAUCUGAGGGCUUUGUGAUAUUUGGUGUCAAAGCAAAGGAUUAGUGGAGACUAUCCGAUUUCCGGGAACUCUCACGCGUGAUCGUGUGACGAAGCGUGGCUCUCCACCCGGGGGCUCAUAUGAUGAGUGCUUUGAUAGGCGCGCGCGGGUGUCACCCUAUAUAUUGGGACUGAGCCCGUGCCACAUGUGAUGUGCAGUUGAAGACUGUCUUCGACUGGUACCAGAGUUAAAAUAUCUAAAAUAUCAAGCAUGUUAUGGGUUAAAAUGUUUAACCCGUUCUUUCCGCAUAAAUUUUUUUUGAAAUUCAUGCUUAGCCCUCUGCACGCACACCAUCAGAAAUCUGAGCCAUGGACCAAGGUUCAAGGCAUAGUCCACCUUGGCUCCACAGAGGUAAUCAAUUGUCACUAAGUGAAGGUUCAAACCGAAAGGUACCUACACCUAUUACAUAAUAUAAGAUACUCAGCACUUUAUUUUGAUUUUUUUUAAUUUUAUUUUGAUUUUAAAUUUUUUAAAUAUUUAAUUUAUGUGGGGGAUUGUUGAAUUAAAUUAAAUAUUUUAAAAUUUUGAAAACUAAAUUAGUCAACGGCCAAGUGGCAAGCAUCCGUGCACAAGCAAGGGAGCAAACAUGGAAAAAUUUCCAAAGAAAGCAAACCAUGACAAGUGUCAUGCAUCUAGUGCAAGAGCAAGUAUGGAAAGGCUCAUCGAAGAAGGAAGGAAGCAUGAACGGCCAAGAUGCAAUAAGCCGAAGAAUCAAAGGAGCACAAGAAGACACGUCAUCAAUUUGCGGGAGGGGAAUUUUCUUCUUUUGACGAGCCUGAGCCCAUAUAAAGGGCUCUAGGGAUCAUUUCAAACACAAUCAAAAUGUUCUCUUCUCCCUAUUCCAAGAGUGUAGAUAAAAAGGGCUCUAGGGAUCAUUGGGGAGAAAAGAAAUAAAGAAAAAUUUUCUUCUCCUCAUAAUUUUUCUAAGUUUCUUUUGAGGUAUCUGUAAGCGUGAACGUACUGUUGGGAAUUGUAUCCUAAAUGUCAAUCGUCAG
rnacentral:lncRNA from 1 species